GCCAGAUGAUGACGGAAUUUGCUACUCUUGAAAGAGCAUGAUGAAAAACUUGGAUACCACCAAUAUCACCGUACUGAUGGC
rnacentral:snoRNA from 1 species